rnacentral:rRNA from 1 species
UCGGAGAGACCACAGGGAUUGCCCUAGUAACGGCGAGUGAAGCGGCAACAGCUCAAAUUUGAAAUCUGGCGUCUUUGGCGUCCGAGUUGUAAUUUGCAGAGGGCGCUUUGGCAUUGGCAGCGGUCCAAGUUCCUUGGAACAGGACGUCACAGAGGGUGAGAAUCCCGUACGUGGUCGCUAGCCUUUACCGUGUAAAGCCCCUUCGACGAGUCGAGUUGUUUGGGAAUGCAGCUCUAAAUGGGAGGUAAAUUUCUUCUAAAGCUAAAUACUGGCCAGAGACCGAUAGCGCACAAGUAGAGUGAUCGAAAGAUGAAAAGCACUUUGGAAAGAGAGUUAAAAAGCACGUGAAAUUGUUGAAAGGGAAGCGCUUGCAGCCAGACUUGCCUGUAGUUGCUCAUCCGGGUUUUUACCCGGUGCACUCUUCUACGGGCAGGCCAGCAUCAGUUUGGGCGGUUGGAUAAAGGUCUCUGUCAUGUACCUCCUCUCGGGGAGAUCUUAUAGGGGAGACGACAUGCAACCAGCCUGGACUGAGGUCCGCGCAUCUGCUAGGAUGCUGGCGUAAUGGCUGUAAGCGGCCCGUCUUGAAACACGGACCAAGGAGUCUAACAUCUAUGCGAGUGUUUGGGUGUCAAGCCCGAACGCGUAAUGAAAGUGAACGGAGGUGGGAACCUUUCGGGGUGCACCAUCGACCGAUCCUGAUGUCUUCGGAUGGAUUUGAGUAAGAGCAUAGCUGUUGGGACCCGAAAGAUGGUGAACUAUGCUUGAAUAGGGUGAAGCCAGAGGAAACUCUGGUGGAGGCUCGCAGCGGUUCUGACGUGCAAAUCGAUCGUCAAAUUUGGGCAUAGGGGCGAAAGACUAAUCGAACU